rnacentral:rRNA from 1 species
UACGAAGGGUGCAAGCGUUACUCGGAAUUACUGGGCGUAAAGCGUGCGCAGGCGGUUUGUUAAGUCUGUCGUGAAAGCCCCGGGCUCAACCUGGGAAUGGCGAUGGAUACUGGCGAGCUAGAGUACGGUAGAGGAGAGUGGAAUUCCCGGUGUAGCAGUGAAAUGCGUAGAUAUCGGGAGGAACAUCUGUUGCGAAGGCGACACCCUGGACCAGCACUGACACUGAGGCACGAAAGCGUGGGGAGCAAACAGG